UAUAUUAUUAAGUAAUUAUUGUUGUUCGGUGGAGAUACAAAGUUUACGCUUUAACUCGAUGAAAUUGAUCACGGUAGUAAUAAUCAGUGUGACUCAGUCGCACGCAGGAGGCAACACACAUGGAACAAGGUACAGUAAAAUGGUUUAACGCAGAAAAAGGUUUUGGCUUUAUCGAACGUGAAAGCGGCGACGACGUUUUCGUUCACUUCUCAGCUAUCCAAACUGAUGGCUUCAAAUCACUUGACGAAGGUCAAGAGGUUUCUUUCGAAGUUGAAGAAGGCCAACGCGGACCGCAAGCAACUAACGUUACUAAACUUUAAUUUUUUAAGACCUUGCUGAUGCAAGGUCUUUUUUU
rnacentral:misc_RNA from 2 species